AAAACAUGCAAGUCGUGGGAGAAGCACUUCNGGGUGUGGACACCGGCGAAAGGGCGAGUAACGCGAUCGAACGUACCCCGAGGUGGGGGAUAGCGUCGGGAAACCGGCGGUAAUACCCCAUGUGCUCUACUGAGGAAAGCUCCGGCGCCUUGGGAGCGGCGAUCGUCCUAUCAGGUUGUUGGUGAGGUAACGGCUCACCAAGGCGACGACGGGUAGGGGGCCUGAGAGGGUGACCCCCCACACUGGGACUGAGACACGGCCCAGACUCCUACGGGAGGCAGCAGUGAGGGAUAUUGCACAAUGGGCGCAAGCCUGAUGCAGCAAUGCCGCGUGGGUGAAGAAGGUUUUCGGAUCGUAAAGCCCUUUUCUGCGUGACGAGGAAGGACGGUAGCGCAGGGAAAAAGUGUCGGCUAACUACGUGCCAGCAGCCGGGGUAAAACGUAGGACGCAAGCGUUAUCCGGAGUUACUGGGCGUAAAGCGCGUGCAGGCGGAUCGGAUAGUCAUUUAUGAAAGCUCCCGGCU
rnacentral:rRNA from 1 species